CAAUGAAUAAUGAAAAGCAGUUACACUUCAGAGUGGGAAGACCAUUAAUGAAAAUGGUGGAGAGAAUUCUAUAGUGCAAGAGGAAGUGACUGUAGAGGAACCUAUUAUGGAGCAGAGUGAUGAUAAGUCUGGGGGAGAGGAAAAUUCUAAAGAUGAACCUACAACACCAACCCCUAUAGUGAACAAAGCUAGUCCUCCUAUCCCACAGUUUCCA
rnacentral:lncRNA from 1 species